CUACGGGAUGCUCCAGUAAGGAAUAUUGCGCAAUGGAGGCAACUCUGACGCAGCCAUGCCGCGUGCAGGAAGAAGGCCUUAUGGGUCGUAAACUGCUUUUAUUUAGGAAUAAACCCCCGAACGUGUUCGGGGCUGAAGGUACUAAACGAAUAAGCACCGGCUAACUCCGUGCCAGCAGCCGCGGUAAUACGGAGGGUGCAAGCGUUAUCCGGAUUUAUUGGGGUUAAAGGGUGCGCAGGCGAGCUAUUAAGUCAGUGGUGAAAUCCCGGGGCGCAACGCCGGAACUGCCAUUGAUACUGAUAGUCUUGAGAUUGGUUGAAGUGGGCGGAAUGAAGCAUGUAGCGGUGAAAUGCAUAGAUAUGCUACAGAACACCAAUCGCGAAGGCAGCUCACUAAGCCAAAACUGACGCUCAUGCACGAAAGCGUGGGGAUCAAACAGGAUUAGAUACCCCAGUAGUC
rnacentral:rRNA from 1 species